ACAAAACACAAGAGUCUAAAAGGAAGAAAAAGGCUUGCUAACCGGCCAUGGAAAUCUUCAAGAGGAACACGAGGGCUGCAUCGUUGGCGGUUCUGGUGGUCAUGGCCGCAACCUUAUUAUUGUCCUCUUCAACUGCACAUGCAGAUGAGUGCAUGGUGGCGCCGGAAUGCUCGGGUCCCUACCCGGAGGUGAUAUGCCCUGAGCUAUGCGCUCGUUAUGGUUACAACAAAGAUGGAUACUGCAAGGAAUCACGCUACUGCUGUUGUCGCGGUGCCAAAUUAGCCGACCCGGCGGUCCUCGUGAAUCCUAGUGUCCUAAAUCCAUAGGAUAGUAGGGAAACCCUAGAUGCUGCUGCAUGCGCCACAAUAUGUACCUUUCUGGCUGGAAGAUGAAAUUUGAUAUGAAAUAAGUUUUUUAUCGGUUAUUU